rnacentral:rRNA from 1 species
GAACGCUGGCGGCGUGCCUAACACAUGCAAGUCGAGCGGAGUCGAUCGACGGAAGCCUUCGGGCGGAAGAUGGUUGACUUAGCGGCGGAUGGGUGAGUAACGCGUGGGCAACCUGCCUCGAAGACCGGGAUAACAGCCCGAAAGGGCUGCUAAUACCGGAUGUGGUCAAGGAUCCGCAUGGAUUUUUGAUUAAAGGGGAAACCCGUUUCGAGAUGGGCCCGCGUCCUAUCAGCUAGUUGGUGAGGUAAAAGCUCACCAAGGCGACGACGGGUAGCCGGCCUGAGAGGGUGACCGGCCACACUGGAACUGAGACACGGUCCAGACUCCUACGGGGGGCAGCAGUGGGGAAUCUUCCACAAUGGGCGAAAGCCUGAUGGAGCGACGCCGCGUGAGCGAAGAAGGCCUUCGGGUUGUAAAGCUCUGUCUGGAGGGACGAAGGAAGUGACGGUACCUCCGGAGGAAGCCACGGCUAACUACGUG